rnacentral:rRNA from 1 species
AAUAAUUUAUUUGAUGGUUUCUUACUACAUGGAUAACUGUAGUAAUUCUAGAGCUAAUACAUGCGUAAAGUCCCGACUCUCGCGGGGAGGGAUGUAUUUAUUAGAUAAAAAACCAAUGCGGCCUCUGGCCGAUUUUGUGGUGAAUCAUAGUAACUUUUCGAAUCGCAUGGCUUCACGCCGGCGAUAGUUCAUUCAAAUUUCUGCCCUAUCAGCUUUCGACGGUAGUGUAGUGGACUACCGUGGCGUUAACGGGUAACGGAGAAUUAGGGUUCGAUUCCGGAGAGGGAGCCUGAGAAACGGCUACCACA